UUCCGGUUGAUCCUGCCGGACCUGACUGCUAUCGGAUUGGUACUAAGCCAUGUGAGUCGUUGCAGCAAUGCAAGGCAGACGGCUCAGUAACACGUAGUCAACCUAACCUAUGGACGGGGAUAACCUCGGGAAACUGAGAAUAAUACCCGAUAGAUCAUGAUACCUGGAAUGGUUUAUGGUUCAAAUGAUUUAUCGCCAUAGGAUGGGACUGCGGUCUAUCAGCUUGUUGGUGAGGUAAUGGCCCACCAAGGCUAUAACAGAUACGGGCUCUGAGAGGAGGGGCCCGGAGAUGGGUACUGAGACACGGACCCAGGUCCUAUGGGGCGCAGCAGGCGAGAAACCUUUGCAAUGUGCGAAAGCACGACAAGGUUAAUCCGAGUGAUUCCUGCUAAAGGAAUCUUUUGUUAGUCAUAAAACCACUGAUGAAUAAGGGGUGGGCAAGUUCUGGUGUCAGCCGCCGCGGUAAUACCAGCACCUCGAGUGGUCAGGAGGUUUAUUGGGCCUAAAGCAUCCGUAGCCGGCUGCUCAAGUUUCCGGUUAAAUCCACACGCUUAACGUAUGGGCUGCCGGAAAUACUGUUCAGCUAGGGAGUGGGAGAGGUAGACGGUACUCGAUAGGAAGGGGUAAAAUCCUUUGAUCUAUUGAUGACCACCUGUGGCGAAGGCGGUCUACCAGAACACGUUCGACGGUGAGGGAUGAAAGCUGGGGGAGCAAACCGGAUUAGAUACCCGGGUAGUCCCAGCUGUAAACGAUGCAGACUCGGUGAUGCAUUGGCUUAUGGCCAGUGCAGUGCCGCAGGGAAGCCGUUAAGUUUGCCGCCUGGGAAGUACGUACGCAAGUAUGAAACUUAAAGGAAUUGGCGGGGGAGCACCACAAGGGGUGAAGCCUGCGGUUCAAUUGGAUUCAACGCCGGA
rnacentral:rRNA from 1 species